CAGUAGCCGCGGGAAUACGGAGGGUGCGAGCGUUAAUCGGAAUUACUGGGCGUAAAGCGUACGCAGGCGGUUUGUUAAGUCAGAUGUGAAAUCCCCGAGCUUAACUCGGGAACUGCAUUUGAAACUGGCAGGCUAGAGUCUCGUAGAGGGGGGUAGAAUUCCAGGUGUAGCGGUGAAAUGCGUAGAGAUCUGGAGGAAUACCGGUGGCGAAGGCGACUAUCUGGGCCAACACUGACACUGAGACACGAAAGCGUGGGGAGCAAACAGGAUUAGAGACCCCAGUAGUCCCUGUCUCUUAUAC
rnacentral:rRNA from 1 species